AUACUUACCUGGCAGGGGAGACACCUUGAUCAUGAAGGAGGUUUUCCCAGGGCGAGGCUCAUCCAUUGCACUGCGGGUGUGCUGACCCCUGCGAUUUCCCCAAAUGCGGGAAACUCGACUGCAUAAUUUGUGGUAGUGGGGGACUGCGUUCGCGCUUUCCCCUG
rnacentral:snRNA from 1 species